rnacentral:rRNA from 2 species
GAUUUUUAGGCUCUAAAAUAUGCACACAUCGCCCGUCGCUCUCAUGAUAAAAUGAGAUAAGUCGUAACAUAGUAGAUGUAUUGGAAAAUGUAUCUAGAAAGUCA